rnacentral:miRNA from 1 species
UAGUCGUUUUCUGCUUUGCGGUU